rnacentral:rRNA from 1 species
AUUGAACGCUGGCGGCAGGCCUAACACAUGCAAGUCGAACGGGAACAGGAAGACGCUUGCUUCUUUGCUGACGAGUGGCGGACGGGUGAGUAAUGUCUGGGAAACUGCCUGAUGGAGGGGGAUAACUACUGGAAACGGUAGCUAAUACCGCAUAACGUCGCAAGACCAAAGAGGGGGACCUUCGGGCCUCUUGCCAUCGGAUGUGCCCAGAUGGGAUUAGCUAGUAGGUGGGGUAACGGCUCACCUAGGCGACGAUCCCUAGCUGGUCUGAGAGGAUGACCAGCCACACUGGAACUGAGACACGGUCCAGACUCCUACGGGAGGCAGCAGUGGGGAAUAUUGCACAAUGGGCGCAAGCCUGAUGCAGCCAUGCCGCGUGUAUGAAGAAGGCCUUCGGGUUGUAAAGUACUUUCAGCGGGGAGGAAGGGAGUAAAGUUAAUACCUUUGCUCAUUGACGUUACCCGCAGAAGAAGCACCGGCUAACUCCGUG